AAGUCAACAUCCAAAAUAGCCAAUUUCUGAAUGAGGAAAUCGGAAGACAUAUCUAUGAAGAAGGGGAAGAAGAAGAAAUGUUAUCACAUUGCCGAGCAGAAGCGGCGAGAAAUGGUGAUUUAUCACCAAUGCAUAGUAAAGCAAAUAAGAAAGCUUGUGAAAGAGAAAGAGUUUGCGACAACAGGAUGGGCGUAGACGCUAACAUUCGAAGGCCC
rnacentral:lncRNA from 1 species